rnacentral:rRNA from 1 species
UACGAAGGGGGCGAGCGUUGUUCGGGAUUACUGGGCGUAAAGGGCGCGUAGGCGGCCGAUCAAGUCAGAUGUGAAAGUCCUGGGCUUAACCUGGGGACUGCAUUUGAUACUGAUUGGCUUGAAUGCAGGAGAGGAUAGCGGAAUUCCCAGUGUAGAGGUGAAAUUCGUAGAUAUUGGGAAGAACACCGGUGGCGAAGGCGGCUAUCUGGACUGUGAUUGACGCUGAGGCGCGAAAGCGUGGGGAGCAAACAGG